rnacentral:lncRNA from 1 species
CUGCUGUGGGUGUGGACAGAGAGGGAAGAUGUGUAUUUGAGGUUUGGCUUCUGCGUGAGGAAAGGGAAAAAAGGAUCCAGGGAAUGCUUCCUCAUGUUCCAGUGACACCCAUUCCUCCUAAGAGGAUAGAAUCUGGGGGAAGCUGUAGAGGGAUGGCAAUGCAAUAGACAUUCCUUAAGGACCUACCCAGCGCUAAGCAACCCUAUGAGGAGAGCAUCAUUAUCCCCAUUCUACAGAUAGGAAAACUGAGGCUCAGGAGGCCGCACAAUUUGCCAGGGUUCCUCAGUUGAAAAGUAGUAGUACUAAGAUAGGAACCAAAGGCUGUCUGGCUUUGCUGGUAGGCAAGUCUACUCUGCCACUCCGCCCUCGCCAAGUGCAGGUAGUCCAGCCCUAUUCUUUUUUCUUCCUAAGUGAAGAGAAAUCAUUUGAACAAAUACUGGCCGGGCGCGGUGGCUCACACCUGUAAUCCCAGCACUUUGGGAGGCCAAGGCGGGCAGAUCACCUGAGGUCCCGAGUUCAAGACUUGCCUGGGCAACAUGGUGAAACCCCAUCUCUACUAAAAAUACAAAAAUUAGUCUAGUGUGGUGAUGGGUGCCUGUAAUCCUGGCUAUUCGGGAGGCUGAGCCAGGAGACUCGCUUGAACCCAGGAGGUGGAGGUUGCAAUGAGCCGAGAUCACGCCACUACACUCCAGCUUGGGUGACAGAACAAGAUCCUGUCUUUGGUUACACUUCAUCAGCAUCCGAUAGAGCUGAAGGAUCCAGACCCUACCAAGACUCAAGAGGGGAAGGUGUUGAUAAACAGGCCUGUGACUUUCCACAUGGAGAAGAGAACCCUGGUUCUUGUCCACAUCUCAACCAGCAAAGCUGCUCUUAGCUGAAGGGCUCGGAAGAAAGCAGGACGAUUGCCUGAGAUCCAGUAGUCCCUUUUGCAAUAAAGCUAUGAUGUAAGUAAUCAUAUGUAAAAGGUUUUUAAACUUUAGCUAUAGGAAAUUGGGAGCCAAACUUUAAUACAUCAAACUUGACUUCAUUUUAAAAAUUGCCUACCUGAGAAGGGAGAAAUCUCUAUAAAGACAUCAAAGUUCUAAGAUCUGUAAG